rnacentral:rRNA from 1 species
UACGUAGGGGGCAAGCGUUGUCCGGAAUCAUUGGGCGUAAAGAGCGCGUAGGCGGCCCUGUAAGUCCGCUGUGAAAGUCAAGGGCUCAACCCUUGAAUGCCGGUGGAUACUGCAGGGCUAGAGUCCGGAAGAGGCGAGUGGAAUUCCUGGUGUAGCGGUGAAAUGCGCAGAUAUCAGGAGGAACACCAAUUGCGAAGGCAGCUCGCUGGGACGUGACUGACGCUGAGACGCGAAAGCGUGGGGAGCAAACAGG